rnacentral:rRNA from 1 species
UACGUAGGGGGCAAGCGUUGUCCGGAAUAACUGGGCGUAAAGGGCGCGUAGGCGGCUUUUUAAGUCUGGAGUGAAAGUCCCGCUUUUAAGGUGGGAAUUGCUUUGGAAACUGGAGAGCUUGAGUGCAGAAGAGGUAAGUGGAAUUCCCAGUGUAGCGGUGAAAUGCGUAGAGAUUGGGAGGAACACCAGUGGCGAAGGCGACUUACUGGGCUGUAACUGACGCUGAGGCGCGAAAGCGUGGGUAGCAAACAGGAUUAGAUACCCUGGUAGUCCACGCUGUAAACGAUGAAUGCUAGGUGUAGGGGGUAUCGACCCCUCCUGUGCCGGAGUUAACACAAUAAGCAUUCCGCCUGGGGAGUACGGCCGCAAGGUUGAA